AGGAGACGGUUAUCGACCCCGAGCUCCUCAUUCGAUUCAAGGAUGGAUGAUGAAGGGAUUGCUGCCGUUGGAUCGGGACCUUCGACUCGGUGUUUCGCCGUUGGUAGGGGGAGGAGUACUAUCGGUAAGUGUCGUGGAUGCUAUUGCUGCUAAUUACAAUAUACGCCAAGGUCAAAUUAUUUUGAUCCCUCUAUUAUGAACUUGUUUGAGAUUUAAUCUCAAUAAAAUAUUUCAUCUUUCUAUUUUUUAUGAUGUUAUUAAGUAAUACAAAUAGCUAAGAAACACCAUUUUCAACUAGAUUUUUUUUUCAGAAGUUAGGAAGAGUGUUUUCUUUUAGAAAAUUUAACACCAUCAUUUUAAUAAUUUUUUUCUCGAUUGAUAUAAAAAUGACAAAGAUAAAAAGAGGUUAGAGAAUAUCAACCUCUUUCAAAAACAAAAACAUUACAAAAAUUCCUAGAGUAAUCUUUCGCUUUGAAAUACACUCGACCUGAGACAAUCAACAUCAACAUUAACUCAAACCAAAACUAAUAUGCAGCCCACAAUAAUCACCUCCCAACUUUCAAAAAACGAAGGACUCCUUAUACCUGCUAUUGCCAGAGCAUCAGCCAUACUAUUUCAUUGCCAUUAAACAACUACGAAAUAAACUCAACACAGCUGAUCAAUACUACAACCAAUACCAAUGGCUAGAUUUUGCAAUAUCCACGUUUAUAAUUUCUUUCCAACUACCACUCCAAUGCACAUGCAAGCUAGAUUACAUACUAAUGGGACUUUCACAUGCUAACCAUUCCAAUAAUCAGCGCCGAUGCAAUCAAUACAGAUAACAGAGCACAAGCCACUUCUUAUGUCUCUCAAUGGCAUAAUGUGAAAUUUAACUUUUAAUGUUUAUGUCUUUUGUCAAUAUGGUCAUAAUUCUUCUCUUUUUUUAAGCUAAAUUUAAUCUUCAACCUUUUAGAAAUAGUGAAAUUUAAUCACCAAUCUUUUAAAAAUGAGUCAAAUUGAUUUUUUUAUCAAAAAUAUUGACUAAAACGUUAAGUUAUUAAAUAUGGCAAUCUAGAUGUACUUCAUGCUAUUUUUAUGCAAUUUUUAUAAUUUUGUUUCAAUUUUUAUUUUAUUUUUUCAUAAAUUUUAAAUUAUUUAUUAACGUAAUAAAUAAGGCAAAUGGAACCAUGUUAACUUGAAGUGUAUGUGGACUGCUACGUAGGUUACCACGCUAAUAUCACUAAAAAAUUAAUGUUUUAAUCAAAAUUUCCAUUAAAAAGAACAAUUUGACUCUUUUUAAAAGGUAAUGACCAAAUUUAGUUAAAAAAGAAGAUCAAAUUGAUAAAAAUAUAAACGUUAAGCGUUAAAUUUUUUAUCUUGCCAAUUUAUAUGCAUAAUCUAACUUCGUACGUUGUUAUUUGUAACCUACUCAAUUUAUCAGUAGUUCAAUGUAGCGGGAGCCAUGAUUGUCCAAAAUUAUUAGGACUUAAUCAAAUUCUUCAAAAUUUUUGAAAAAUUUAAACAGACCUUAUUAAACAAAUUCGAAUCAAACUAAACUUAAGUAAAUAUUAUGAUACUACCAUAUAUAAUCCCGACCCAAUUCUUAAACACUUCAAAUUGUAAAUGAUUGAUCGCAAUAUUUUUAGAAUCGAAUCGAUAAUCAAAUUAGUCAAGUCAUCCAUCGAUCGUACCGAUUUAAUAAAAAAAUAAAAAUAAAAAUUCAUAAAAAUAAAAAAAGAAUAUUUAAAAACCUGAUUUAGCCGAUUCGCAAUUCAACCAAUUCUUUACCCUUCUUCAAACUGAUAUCUCGACCCAACCUGUCCAUUCCGAGUCAAACAACCUUAAUUGAUUGGGGCAUAUUCUUUCUUUUUCUCUCUCAUAUAAUUUGUGACUUAUUUAAUACCCC
rnacentral:lncRNA from 1 species